CGGUAAGGUAGUUACGUAGUACGUAGUCGGACGUACGACGGACGACGCGUGGCGGCGUGGAUAGGCAUGCAAGUCGAACGGUAUCAGUCCUUUCGGGGGUGAAGAGUAGUGGCGAACUGGUGAGUAACACGUAGGUUAUCUACCCUCGAAGACGGGGACAAACCCAGGGAAACUUGGGCUAAUACCGGAUGUGAGCAACUUUUAGUUGUUUGAAAGGUGGCGUAAGCUGUCGCUUGGGGAUGAGCCUGCGUCCUAUUAGUUAGUUGGUGAGGUAACGGCUCACCUAGGCAAUGAUAGGUAGGCGGCCUUAACGGGUGGUCGCCCACACUGGGAUUGAGAUACGGCCCAGACUCCUACGGGAGGCAGCAGUCGAGAAUAGUCUACAAUGGUCGGAAGACUGAUAGUGCGACGCCGCGUGAACGAUGAAUCCCUUCGGGGUGUAAAGUUCUUUUAUAUGUGAGCAGUGCUUCUUAUAUUAACAGUAUGGGGAGAGAGAUAUUAGCAUAUGAAUAAGCAACGGCUAACUCCGUG
rnacentral:rRNA from 1 species